rnacentral:tRNA from 1 species
UGGCGGGUUACCCGAGUGGCCAAAGGGGGCUGACUGUAAAUCAGCUGGCAACGCCUACGGGGGUUCGAAUCCCUCACCCGCCACCCA